AGAAAAAUAAGCUAAGUUUAAGCUUAUAGGUUCAUACCCUAUCUAUGGAGAUACUCCUUUUUCUA
rnacentral:tRNA from 1 species